UGCCAGCCGCCGCGGUAAUACGGAGGGGGCAAGCGUUAAUCGGAUUUAUUGGGCGUAAAGGGCGCGUAGGUGGUAAGGCAAGUAGGAUGUGAAAGCCCCGGGCUUAACCUGGGAAGUGCCUCCUAAACUGCCUAACUAGAGUAUGGUAGAGGGUAGUGGAAUUUCCGGUGUAGCGGUGAAAUGCGUAGAUAUCGGAAGGAACGCCAGUGGUGAGGACGACUACCUGGAUCAAUACUGACACUGAGGCGCGAAAGCGUGGGGAUCAAACAGGAUUAGAUA
rnacentral:rRNA from 1 species